AUUGAACGCUGGCGGCAUGCCUUACACAUGCAAGUCGAACGGUAACAGGUCUUCUGAUGCUGACGAGUGGCGAACGGGUGAGUAAUACAUCGGAACGUGCCCGAUCGUGGGGGAUAACGGAGCGAAAGCUUUGCUAAUACCGCAUACGAUCUACGGAUGAAAGCAGGGGACCGCAAGGCCUUGCGCGGUCGGAGCGGCCGAUGGCAGAUUAGGUAGUUGGUGGGGUAAAAGCUUACCAAGCCGACGAUCUGUAGCUGGUCUGAGAGGACGACCAGCCACACUGGGACUGAGACACGGCCCAGACUCCUACGGGAGGCAGCAGUGGGGAAUAUUGGACAAUGGGCGAAAGCCUGAUCCAGCCAUGCCGCGUGCAGGAUGAAGGCCUUCGGGUUGUAAACUGCUUUUGUACGGAACGAAAAGACUCUUUCUAAUAAAGAGGGUCCAUGACGGUACCGUAAGAAUAAGCACCGGCUAACUACGUG
rnacentral:rRNA from 1 species